rnacentral:rRNA from 1 species
UACGUAUGGUGCAAGCGUUAUCCGGAUUUACUGGGUGUAAAGGGAGCGCAGGCGGCACGGCAAGCCUGAUGUGAAAGCCCGCGGCCCAACCGCGGGACUGCAUUGGGAACUACCGGGCUGGAGUGCCGGAGAGGUAGGCGGAAUUCCUGGUGUAGCGGUGAAAUGCGUUGAUAUCAGGAGGAACACCGGUGGCGAAGGCGGCCUGCUGGACUGCAACUGACGUUGAGGCCCGAAAGCGUGGGGAGCAAACAGG